rnacentral:rRNA from 1 species
AACGAACGCUGGCGGCAUGCCUAACACAUGCAAGUCGAACGAAGCCUUCGGGCUUAGUGGCGCACGGGUGCGUAACGCGUGGGAAUCUGCCCCUUGCUUCGGAAUAACAGUUAGAAAUGACUGCUAAUACCGGAUGAAGUCUUCGGACCAAAGAUUUAUCGGCAAGGGAUGAGCCCGCGUAGGAUUAGGUAGUUGGUGGGGUAAAGGCCUACCAAGCCGACGAUCCUUAGCUGGUCUGAGAGGAUGAUCAGCCACACUGGGACUGAGACACGGCCCAGACUCCUACGGGAGGCAGCAGUGGGGAAUAUUGGACAAUGGACGCAAGUCUGAUCCAGCAAUGCCGCGUGAGUGAUGAAGGCCUUAGGGUUGUAAAGCUCUUUUACCAGGGAUGAUAAUGACAGUACCUGGAGAAUAAGCUCCGGCUAACUCUGUG